rnacentral:rRNA from 1 species
UACGAAGGGGGCUAGCGUUGCUCGGAAUUACUGGGCGUAAAGCGCACGUAGGCGGUCUUUUAAGUCGGGGGUGAAAUCCUGGAGCUCAACUCCAGAACUGCCUUCGAUACUGGAAGACUUGAGUCCGGGAGAGGUAAGUGGAACUGCGAGUGUAGAGGUGAAAUUCGUAGAUAUUCGCAAGAACACCAGUGGCGAAGGCGGCUCACUGGCCCGGUACUGACGCUGAGGUGCGAAAGCGUGGGGAGCAAACAGG